CAUCAUACUGUGAAACUGCGAAUGGCUCAUUAAAUCAGUUAUAAUUUAUUUGAUAGUACCUUUACACAUGGAUAACUGUGGUAAUUCUAGAGCUAAUACAUGCUAAAAACCCCGACUUCGGAAGGGGUGUAUUUAUUAGAUUAAAAACCAAUGCCCUUCGGGGCUCCUUGGUGAUUCAUGAUAACUUAACGAAUCGCAUGGCCUUGCGCCGGCGAUGGUUCAUUCAAAUUUCUGCCCUAUCAACUUUCGAUGGUAAGAUAGAGGCUUACCAUGGUGUUGACGGGUAACGGGGAAUUAGGGUUCGAUUCCGGAGAGGGAGCCUGAGAAACGGCUACCACAUCCAAGGAAGGCAGCAGGCGCGCAAAUUACCCAAUCCCAAUCCGGGGAGGUAGUGACGAUAAAUACUGAUGCAGAGCUCUUUUGGGUUUUGCAAUUGGAAUGAGUACAAUCUAAAUCCCUUAACGAGGAACAAUUGGAGGGCAAGUCUGGUGCCAGCAGCCGCGGUAAUUCCAGCUCCAAUAGCGUAUAUUAAAGUUGUUGCGGUUAAAAAGCUCGUAGUUGAACCUUGGGUUUGGCUGGCCGGUCCGCCUCACCGCGUGUACUGGUCCGGCCGAACCUUUCCUUCUGGGGAAUCUCAUGCCCUUCACUGGGUGUGUUGGGGAACCAGGACUUUUACUUUGAAAAAAUUAGAGUGUUCAAAGCAGGCCUAUGCUCGAAUACAUUAGCAUGGAAUAAUAGAAUAGGACGGCAGUUCUAUUUUGUUGGUUUCUAGGAUCGCCGUAAUGAUUAAUAGGGAUAGUCGGGGGCAUCAGUAUUGAAUUGUCAGAGGUGAAAUUCUUGGAUUUAUUCAAGACUAACUACUGCGAAAGCAUUUGCCAAGGAUGUUUUCAUUAAUCAGUGAACGAAAGUUAGGGGAUCGAAGACGAUCAGAUACCGUCGUAGUCUUAACCAUAAACUAUGCCAACUAGCGAUCGGAUGGUGUUUUAUUUUUGACCCAUUCGGCAGCUUGUGAGAAAUCAAAGUU
rnacentral:rRNA from 1 species